AGCAUUUCUUACCUGGAAUAACAUAAUAUAAUGAUGUAUAAGGAUAUAAGGAGAAAGGCCAACUUUACUUUCCUGUACCUUUCCUCCAGUCUUGCCCUGCCAUCCAUCUAAAAUGCUAAUUUGAGUUUAUCAUUCCCUGCUUAAAAUCCUCCAAGGACUCCCUGAGCCUUUGGGAUAAAGAACAAACUGCUUAGCAUGACAGCCAAGGUCAUCAUCUCCCACAUCCCAUCCCCCAUGCCUCCUACACAAUUUGCCUCAUAGGCAACACUGAAUGUCUCUAAAACUUAGAAUAUGCCCUGUUGACUCACACCCCUCCUCUAUAUCUUGGCAUAUAUAAUUCACUCUGCCCGAGAUGUCUGUAUAAAAACUCCUACUCACUCAUCUUUCAAAUUUCAACUCAAAUGUUAUCUCUUUUUCUUGCCUGCUUUUUUCUCUGCUCUCAUUUUACCUUGAAUAUAUCCAUGAGAGCUGUUUAUCUUACUGUUUUGUAAAAUGGCUUGUUUUCCAGUUUGCAUCGCUGCUAUUUCUGUAAAGUCCUCCAACUUUCAUAUUAUUAUGGUUUGCAUUUCCUUUGUAUAAAGUGCCUGGCCAAAAGUAGGAACUCAAGGACAGAAAAAUGGAAUGAAAGAAGGAAGAGAGAAUUUCCCCUGCUGCUAGGAUCUGACUUCACUGAGUGGCGCAGGAAAAAAUCAAAAGUCAAUCACUCCAUCAGAAGUUUACAAGAAUUCCUUUCAUUGGCCAGGGGACUUGGAGAGGGAAGGAAUUCCUCGCAGGUUAAAAGUUCCCUUCUUCCACACCCCUUUGGAUUCCAUACUUGUGUCCCCUUCCACACUCCUCGUGGAAGCCUUUUUCUUUCUCCUUUUUCUCUUUCUCUGCCUAAAUAAAUCAUUUUCUGCAAAAAACUUUUUGGGGUCCAGUAUUUACAAGCGCAGCACACCGUGGUCUCAUCUCCCAUUAUUGGGUGAGUGAGAGACCAAGAACCUGGAAAAACGUCCUCUCAGGGGAGCUAAGCACUCCCCUGCACCCCAAAACCCAGACACAAUAUGACCCUGCUCCUAUGG
rnacentral:lncRNA from 1 species